UGUAAUCUACAUUGUGUAAUAUAAUGUAUUAUAAUAUUUUACUUCAUUGUAUAAUAUAUAUUUUUUACUUAAAAACAAGACUAUUUACGGAAAAGACUUAGGUACAGUCGACGUCAAAAAUAUAUUUGCACUUUUGUACCUUACUCCUUUGUAAUAAGGCGAUGAAUGUACACAUAUAUUUGACGUCGACUGGACGUCGACUUACAUUAUUCGAUUCCAACUUUAAAAACGCGAUAGCUCAAAAUGUUACUUAAAUGACAAAAUAUGUUCAUUCCGUUUACCCUUCAAGUAGUUUGUUAUAACAUAUAACAUGUCAAUACAUGUAUAUCAACGAUAUUAUUGAGGACUAGUUCUAAGUAUACUCGUUGGCUCACUUUCAUGGGUCGAUUGUACAUUUCCGAAAACGCUUGUAUUAGGGUAGAUGUUUAUAUAAAAAUAUUUUUAAUAAUGAGGUAUGACUAUUAUAUAGUCUCAUCUGUUGCAUGAAAGACGGGCGUGAAGGGUCUAUUACAAAAAUCAUGCGUUAUUCGUCUUGUGUCAAGGAAAACAAUUGUAAUACUUCGCAUAAUCGCCUCUUGAUAUUAAGAAUAUUCCUUUUGGAUGCUCAAUCUAUCAAUUUUCGUCAUGAUUAGAGCCAGUUUUUCGUCAGAGGUACCGUUUUCGAGCUACAAGCAAUAACUGAAAAAGAGCAAUCAAAUACUAUUUCCAGCUUACUGGAAAAUAAUUGUUCGAAAAAAUCUAAUUUGAUAAGCCUAUCUAUAUGCACAGCGAAAUCGUUACUAAAACUGAUUGUUAAUAGCGCGCAAUAGGAUACCCUGUUAAACUAUUUUUAAAAUGUGAGUGAAUGCGAUUAUUUGAUAUUAAUUAGCCCUCAUAUUUUUGUCGGAAUCUAUAUCUGGCCUAUUUAAAAACUAGCUUCCGAAAACUGUCUUCGCCAAGUUAGUGAUGUAAAGCUUUUUUCCUUUUUGCCUUUUUUUUAAUGAAAUGAUCUAAAACCAGAAUCCUAAUUAUAAAAUACACAAUUAACUGUUCUUAAGAGCCAGGCAACAAAUAAAUUAUUUAUAUUUAAUACAAUUUAAUAUACACUAUUUGUUAUUUUAAAUUGGUAUUCACUAUAACUGCGUCAGCAGAAUCAAUAAGAAUCUUAACACUGCUGCUAAUAGCAGUAUUGACGUACCUGUAAUAUAUAUAUUUAAAAUUAGUUUUCCUGGGUCGCGCUAUGGAUUUCGAUGAAAUUUACAAAAUACAUAUAAGCUUCAUUAGACAUAUAUGGUUCGUAGUUUUGUAAUAUAAGAUGAACAAUCUUUCAGGUUGAGUUUCAUUAAUAAGAAAGUUUAUUUUUCCAGGAAUCUCGAAUUUAUUUACAUAUUUUAUUGACAUAUAUUCGUUAUAAUUAGAAUACUUACUUUAAACACAGCUUUACUAUUGAAAUGCAGUUAAUGUGUAAGUACAGAAAUGUAACCUGUAGGUGUAACAGAUUUUUUUGCGUAGCCGCGUAGCGUAUUGUUUUUAUAUCUGUUUUUGCGCUGUGUAUAAAAUUGUUUAGUUAUAUUUUUAGUCAGAUUUUGAUAUCACAAGAUUUUAUCUGUGUUGUAUAGUAAGCAAUAGGAGAAGAGAAUAAGCAAAAGCAGCGUAGGAACUAUAUUUUGAGAGGAGACAAUAUUCUUAUAUUUAUCGUAAUAAAUGAAUAAGAUGUAUUUUAAGCUUUAAAAAUCGCCGUUGACAGAAGCGAUAUAUAAAUUUGACAUUUUCGACAUCUCGUGACAUUGUACGUAUCAUCACAGAUGAAAUAAAAGUACUACCGUACAGAAAGGACACUUCCUACAAACCCGAAGAUUGACAGCGGUUCAGGGUCGAAUCAUGCUAUCCCAUUUUAAUAUAUGGCACUAUCCCUUUCGGUUAUUUAGGGUUGUCAAAAUUCAAGCGAUUAUCUUAUCUGUGGUCGUGCACGCAAAAGGAAGUCGAGUGAUGCCAACCCUAAUAAUUGCUCGGAGCAAUGCUGAGACGGACGGAGCCGAGUUCGACCGAAGUCAGGAGUGUCUCCCCACUGGUAUCACGAGCGCUAAGCUUUUCAAGUACGCAAAGGUGCUUACAGAUGGGAAGCAGGUUAUGAACGGACCGUCAUUGAAAAAAAGUACUAAUACAUAGUACUGUGCACGAACGAGUGUGAAUUGAAGCCCGAAACCGAAGGCGAGGGCAUAAUUAACACGAGUUCGUAAUACCUGUACCGCCCGUGGCACACACACACAGUGUUUUUCAUCACACUUGUGAGGAAGACAGGGAAAUAAAUAAAACUUCUGCCUAAUUUCGUACGAACAUUACAUCCCUAGGUGGAAAUUUUGGAUUUACGGACCGCAUCGACUACGUGAAAUAACACCUUUUACGAGCAAGUAUGAUGAAAUAGUACAUUUCGAUGCUAGUGCGGAAGGUAUGUCAUUACUUCACGAGUACCGAGAUAUCUUGCCACGAGCCGCAGGCGAGUGGCAAGACUCGGGACGAGUGAAGAAUGACAUUUCCGCACGUGUAUCGAACGACGUUUUUUAAUACAGUUGCGAAAAAAUAAGAAAAACAUUGUUAAUUGUACACUAAACAAAAGUGGUAACAGUGACAGCUCGGUUAAACGUCGCCUUUAAGUAUAUUAUAUCUAUGGGCGUUUGGCAGCUAUUCCGUUCCAUUCAGUCAACUUAUUAAGAACGGAAUUUUCAAUAUUGAAUAUUAAAAACUAAACGUGUUAUAAUGAUGAAGAGCUAAAUAAUUAAAUAUGAAAUAUGUAAUAUUUUUCGUAUUCUUACAUUAACGGUAGGUUUUUAUGCUGAUUACGACGUUUAAAGGAAACUAAUAUUAACACUCAUCAAUAAGUAGUCGUGAAUUGGAACAAGUAUAAAUUUAAAAAAAUUGGAAAAGUAAAAAGCACUAGUUCGAGAUAACCAACUUUCCGCACGCUAAACAGCUACGUAAAGUAGCACUUUUUGAGCAACUGUAUUAAAAAAUACCUUUUACAGUACAUAUGGUGCUAUUUUCCUGCACUAGUGCUGGAAUAAGCAAUUUCCGUGCCUAUUAGGAAAAUUUAAACAACCAUAUGCAUAGUAAAACGUAAUACGAUACCCGUGCGAACAGGUAAUUCGCAACGAGUGGUGAUGAAAUCGACAUGAAAUUUUCCUACUUUCCGAACGUGUAUCGUAAAUAACUAUUCUGAUUUACACCGCCGGCAUCGGGAGUCUGCCUUUGGCUGGAAAAUGCAUGAUAUUUAAUGUAUAUAAAAGAAGCUCCGCAACAACUGCGGUGGCUAAUAUAAAUCGUUUUUUUUUUUGUUAAUCCUUGGUAAUCAUAGUUCAAUGUCGUCACGGGAUUGAUAUUUUUAGUUCCUAGUAAUUAAUUUCUUCUUCCCUUUGCUUAUAGUUGUUUACGCUUUAUCGCAGUAUGCCGCAUAGAGUUUAAGAGUGUUUAAUAUCUUAUGGCAAUAAGAACUUUGUAACUUAUGAAACCGAAACCGUCCGAAGUUUUGUUUUUGAAGUACCUACUCAUUUAUUUUAUCUUUUUUAAAUAACACAUAUAUUUUGUUUCUACAUAAAUCAAUAACUAAAUCACGGCUGUUAAAACAGACUUGGGUGCUCUAAAAAGUAUGGGUUAGGGAAUCAAAUAUUUUGUAUGUAUUUUUUAUAACUUAAUGAAGCCCCUCUCGUAAUGAUUUAGUUUACAAUACCGGCGGCUAAAACACCCAGUUAUCAGUCAAUCAUAUGUAACAUCUUAUUUCAGAUUAAUUGCUCUGAUUAGAAAUUUGUAGAUGAUCAGAUUAGUGUAGUUUUUGUACGCGAUUUAUUAAAGUAGGGUAAUGUUUAGAGCUCUAGUUAUUCAUUCAAGCCUGGUGCCGUUAGUACAAGGAAGGAAGCCAACGAUUCGUUCUGGAUAAAGAAUACGUAAAGAUAACAUUCUAGGUAAUCUAGGUAAUUUGUAUGAAGGUAAAAAUAAUAAAUAUGUAUCAGGUCGAUGCGCGAGGAUGAAUUUUUGCGCUGUUGUUAUUAGUAAUUUUUGUAAAAUUUACUCAUCUGAAUCUCGCUUGUUGUAAAAAUGUACACUCCUAAAAAUAAUUUAUUUUUAUUUUACAUUCCUAAUAAUGAAUUUUAUUGAUUAAGUGUGGUAAGUUGCGAAUGAGCUGUUUUAAUAUUCAUCUAUUACCGAAAUGUUUAGCGGUAGUGAACUGUUUCACCGGUUAUGCUGACUUAAAGUGUUAAUUGUAUAGCAGGUGUGCUAAGGUUGCCUUUAUUACUCAAUAAUGACAAGAAAAGUGUCCGACUCUAUAGAGCUUCUUAGCAAUAUUCAUAGACAAUGAGAGUUUCCGCGAUCGAGUUUUCACUAGAUGACAGCACCGUGGCGAGAGGUCUAGCUGUCAUAAUCCACCAAUAAUGUUUAACCAAGUUUUAUUUUAUUGGUGGAUUUUGACAGCAGCUGUCAAAAAGACCUCUAGUCACGGUGCUGCCAUCUAGGGAAAAUCUCGAUCGCGGAAACCCUCAUUGUCACCUACCCGCAAGUUUGUAAGUGCGAGAGUAACGGAUGUCUUAUAACUUGUAACGCACUAUAGGCAGCGAUGUGUGGUAAAUAAGCUACCAAAAUAAGCUACUCACGUGUCAACGAAACGAAUGUGUGAAAUAUAUCUCACUUGACAAUAAUAGCUGUAACGAUACCUACUGUUGUUAUUUAUGUUUGACUUGUGAAUUGAUAGUAAGUAUAUGCCUGUAUCUACCUAAGUUCCUAACCGGCAUUCCAAUAUAUUAGUAGCAACGGAAACUUGGUUGCUGCGUAGGUACAUUUUUUCUAUUAAGUGUGAAAAUACUAGAAUAAAGAUGUAUUAAAAUUAAUUACCGUAAAAUGAGGACAGUAACCGUCUUAUUAACAUUUUUAAUAUUUAUUUGUCAUAAAAUACUUGAGCAACGUGUGGAGGCGUUAAUUAAUGAUUUGAUUGUGGUUUGAUUAGAAUUAGGUAAAUUAACUGUUACGAUAUUGAUAAUACAAGUGAAAAGUGAAGGAUUUUUACAAGCUUUUAUUUAGUUUCACCCCGUUGUCUGUCUGUAAUCAAAUCUUGCAAUUUGAUCCACUUCCCGGUUUCCGAUUGAGCUGACAUUUUGCAUGCAUGUAUAAAUCGGAUGACAAUGCAAUAUUAUUGUACCAUCGAGCUGAUCUGAUGAUGGAGACAGGAGGUGGCCAUAGGAACUCUGUGAUGAAACAACGCAACCUAAUUGUGUUAGGGAUUUUUAGAAUUGUCUCGAUGAGUAUUAGUUGUCUGUCGUAAGAAAAGUACAGUCAGCUUGUACCAAAAAUGAUUUUUUUGCUAUAAAACUAAUUUUACCCUUUAAUCCGACCACAGAUUAUUUUCUUACCUUAGAACCUUCUUAUUUUUGGAAGUCCUAUCCUAUAAAUACACCUACCAUUACCAGCCAAUUACUAUAACGUAUCGAUUGACACCUCAUUAAUCAAAAUCGUGUCAGUAGCUUCGACGAUGUUAUGAAAUAUACGUUAUAAGGAUAAAUUUAUACAUUUAUACUGACAUACAUAUAUUACAUAGGUUACUCAACUCAUUUUACGCUAUGAUAAUUCGAAUAAAAGGGCUGAUUUAAACGGCGCGCGAACUCGCAUGCGAGUUUAGUUACAUUGCGGACUGUUGGUUACGCCCAAUUCAAACGACCGUUCAAAACCCGCAAUGGUAUGAACCUCGCAUGCGAGUUCUCGCAUCGUCUAAAUCAGCCCUAGUCUGUUUGUAUCUAUGUACAAUUUUACUCGAUUAGUGCAAUAUAGAUAUUGUCAAUUAUUGUUGACAUGUUUUGCAGCUAACAUGUUUAGCAUAUAUUAUGCUUUAUAUUUAUACGGCGUAGGGCCUGUAACACGGGCGACACGUUUUCAUUCAUUCUUAGAUAGUAAUGUGGCGUGCCUACCAUGUACCUAUGCUGUGGUUUGUCCUGUUACAGACCCUACCCUUUGAUGUGAAUCGUUCCGCUUCAAUUUCGCACAAGGUUAUUUUUUUUGGGGGAAGCCGUAGAAAGAGAUCAGGCGGAUCAGGCGAGAGAUAUAGAGAUUAUUCGAUUAUGUAAGAAAAGGAUAGAGCUUAAUAUACUGAAUGGUGCGAUUGUAUUUAUAUGAAUACGGCCUAUUUGCUAAACACUGUGAUAUCCUUCGAAAAUGAAGCAAAACGAUUCAUAUUUUAAGGAAUAAAGAUUCUGUCACUGUUGUAAUCAUAGCUAGUCGUCAGACUUGCUAUCGCACUGGCAUUGAUGCAUACUAAAUAAAAGUAUUUUUGAGA